rnacentral:rRNA from 1 species
GAUCCUGGCUCAGAUUGAACGCUAGCGGCAGGCUUAUACAUGCAAGUCGAGGGGCAGCACGGUUAGCAAUAACUGGUGGCGACCGGCGCACGGGUGCGUAACACGUAUACAAUCUACCUUAAACAGGGGGAUAGCCUUUCGAAAGAGAGAUUAAUACCCCGUAAUAAAUUGAACGGCAUCGUUUGAUUUUGAAAGCUCCGGCGGUUUGAGAUGAGUAUGCGUCUGAUUAGCUAGUUGGUGAGGUAACGGCUCACCAAGGCGACGAUCAGUAGGGGACCUGAGAGGACUAACCCCCACACUGGUACUGAGACACGGACCAGACUCCUACGGGAGGCAGCAGUAAGGAAUAUUGGUCAAUGGAGGCAACUCUGAACCAGCCAUGCCGCGUGCAGGAUGACGGCCCUAUGGGUUGUAAACUGCUUUUAUACAAGAGAAAACCCUGGUACGUGUACCAAGUUGAUAGUAUUGUAAGAAUAAGCAUCGGCUAACUUCGUG